rnacentral:rRNA from 1 species
UGGGGAAUUUUGGACAAUGGGGGCAACCCUGAUCCAGCCAUUCCGCGUGAGUGAAGAAGGCCUUCGGGUUGUAGAGCUCUUUCAGCAGGAACGAAACGGUGGCUAUUAAUACUAGCUACUAAUGACGGUACCUGAAGAAGAAGCACCGGCUAACUACGUGCCAGCAGCCGCGGUAAUACGUAGGGUGCGAGCGUUAAUCGGAAUUACUGAGCGUAAAGCGUGCGCAGGCGGUUCCAUAAGACAGAUGUGAAAUCCCCGGGCUUAACCUGGGAACUGCGUUUGUGACUGUGGGACUCGAGUGUGGCAGAGGGGGGUGGAAUUCCACGUGUAGCAGUGAAAUGCGUAGAGAUGUGGAGGAACACCGAUGGCGAAGGCAGCCCCCUGGGUCAACACUGACGCUCAUGCACGAAAGCGUGGGGAGCAAACGGG